GAGAGAUUGCUACAGCUUGGGAAACCAGCAGAGAAGCUGGAAGGAAAGGAAGUCCAAGGGCAGGUUGUGCUCACUCCAUUGCCGUGGAUUCAUACACAGUUGGCAUGGCUGGGCUUGGCAGUGGGAGCUGGAGCCCAUCUCUUCAAGCUCUCAGAAGCAUUUUCCAUGCUGUGUGGAGUGAAAGUUCUAGGAACAAAGCCAUCAUUGGGAGGAAGCCAACUGGAUAAAGAGAUGAGAGAUUGCUGGGGACUAGAUACCCAAGACUGCAUGAAGAGACCACGGCGAGAGUGGCCUGGACCAACUAGGUCUGUGUGAACACACUCUGGGAUGUUAUGAAAUCUCCAACUAACACAUUUGUCAGAAUGCAUCACUGUCCGUAAGAAGAACGUGAUGGUACUUAAAUGAUGCAAGGUAUGCAAAACCCUCUGGGUACUGCUUAGAGCCAGGAGGCACUUGAUGAAUUACUCCCUUUGUUUCCACACCCAGGGGGCUUUCUGACUCCAUCUUGAGUUAGGGAAAAGU
rnacentral:lncRNA from 1 species